GGUAGUGGCUCAGUGGUAGAGUGCUUGCCUUGUGUGCAUGAAGCCCUGGGUUCAAAUCCUCAGCACCA
rnacentral:tRNA from 1 species